CCAGGUGGCGCUGGGGUUAGGGUUGCCGCCACGGAAGCCCAGCUCUGUGGACGCCUGCAGGGCGCCCUCACCGCCCGGGACGAGGGACCCAGCCCAGCCGCAGGGGAAGGACUGGGGCUCGCGGGGACGGAGGGCGUGAUGCAAGAUGGUCCUUUCUGAGCAGAGCUCCCCUUGCUCAGUGCUCCUUUGUUUCACGUAGAAGAUCUUCUUGAGGGGACUGUGUGGCCAGUGCAGCCCAGGCCUCCCCACCCUGCAUGGUUCAACAGAAGAGCAGCUGACGCAGGGGGCCCUCAACAUGCUCACCCAAAAGUCAGCGAGAUUCUGCACCGGCCCACUAGCCUUCCAAUUGUAAACUAAAAAUAAAAUCUUGGCCAGGCA